UCAACGUCCGAGCAUAACCUCUCAUUGUGAUAGCGCAUCUUCGCCGAUCGUAACGAUCGUCACGAUUGAAACAAAUUUGAACGCGAGAUAUCUACGUAAAGAUUUUGGAAUUAUUUUUAAAGAUUCCUAUGAGAAAACUAACAAGGCUCAUUCAUCUUUCGUUACGUGUCGAGUAAAGGUACCGAUCGUGUAACUUCUGUCAUGAAAGAAGAAGAUUUUAAGAUUGUAAGUGGUGACCUAGUUUCUUCAGGAUCAAUCAGCUGAUCCUUCGGUAAGUACCUACGUAUCUACCUACCUACCUACCUAGCUACCUAUCUAACUACUACAGUAGAAUAAAAUCAAAAUGAUCACGAGAAGAAAUUUCUCCCUUUGCUCGUUAAUCGAACGGUUGGAUGAUUCGAGAACCAGUUCGUAAUCGGCCCAAGUGGAAAACUGGGCUAGCAAAUAGAUAUUGAUGAUGAUGAUGAUGAUGAUGAUGAUGACGUUGGC